UACGUAGGGGGCGAGCGUUGUCCGGAAUUAUUGGGCGUAAAGCGCGCGCAGGCGGCUUCUUAAGUCUGAUGUGAAAGCCCGCGGCUCAACCGCGGAGGGUCAUUGGAAACUGGGAAGCUUGAGUGCAGAAGAGGAGAGUGGAAUUCCACGUGUAGCGGUGAAAUGCGUAGAGAUGUGGAGGAACACCAGUGGCGAAAGCGGCUCUCUGGUCUGUAACUGACGCUGAGGCGCGAAAGCGUGGGGAGCAAACAGG
rnacentral:rRNA from 1 species